CAGCGCGCGGCAGGCCAGGGAUAGGGAAAGCAUCCCAGCACCACUGCACGUGCGAAAGAAACGGAAGGCGAAAGCAUACAUUCACCGAUUGAAACUCCUUCCACGCCGAAGCACACAUCGGCGCAAACGCUUUGCCGGCGGACACUCUCUCUCUUUCACUGACCGGGAUGCGCAUCUCUGCGCAUGAGUGGACAGCGUAGCGUCAGCUCUGCCCUUCUCGUGCGCAUCUGCCUCUCCUAUUGCUGGCCGUUCACCGUCUUCCUUUCUCUGCGUUCUCACCCGCUUCCGCUUUUGCCAUUGACUGUGACGUGCAAGAGGCCGCUCCUCGUGACUGUUAUGUUGUGGGCUUAUAUGAGCUGGGGGCAUGUGUGAUGCUGAAGGAUUACUACGCUAUUCUCGAUGUACUGCCCCACGCCUCCGGCGAGGAGAUUCGCCGCGCCUUCAAGCGUCUGGCGCUCCAGUUCCAUCCGGACAAGGUGGGCGGUGGCGCGGCGACAGAGUUGACCUCCACAGUAGAUGCUGACAGGCACCGUGUCGCCGCAAAGAGAGAUGAGAAUGCAUCAGCCAACGCAAGCGUUGCGCGCUCAAAUGCAGCGGCGGCCUCGUGCCAGCCCCUCUCGAGGGACUUCACGGACAUUCAAGAGGCCUACGAAGUCCUGGGUGACGUUGCGCGGCGCUAUCUGUAUGACAUGAACUACCAAGAGCUGUUGGCCGUACAGCAGCAGCGUCAGCAGGAGGAGCGAAAGCGCUGCGACUCCCACGCACGGGCUGUGGCGGAGGCGGCUCGACAGGCCCGCGAGCGUGAGCGCUUGCAACAGCAGCAACAGAGCCCUCAACCGCGCAACAUCAACACAUUUUCCACAAUGGAAUCCAUCGCUGCCGGGGGCCUUCGCGCCAAUGCCCCUGGCUCCUCUCCGCCUCAGCACGGUGCACCCCAUACUCUCGGGCGAGGAGCGGAGGACAUCGGUGCCGCUUCGCCUACCCUGCCACCCGAUGAUGCGCCUCAGCGCAGGCAACCGUGUCAGAAGCUGGCGCCAGCAGAAAAAGAGAAGGAUGGUGACUGUUCGCUAAGAGACCUUGAGCGCGAUGCGGGUGGUGGCGGUGGUCUGUCGCAGGCUCGUUGCUGUUUCACCGCGCCGACCCGGCCACGCGAGGUCGGCAGCCGCCCCAAGGAGUGCCGAGCAAAGAGACACGGGUGCGAGCGCGAUACUAACGAGCGUCUCACCUCGAGCCACACGCAGAGACGCCUCAGCUGUGCUGACACCAAGCACGCACGACAGCACAUGGCAGCAACCGUGCCGGCUAUGUUUGUGCUGUCGAGUUCCUUGCCGUUCAGUUGGGGUGAGACGUCCGCGCAGACGUGCCCGUCUGUAGUCGAACCUAGCGGCUCACGUGGGAGGCAGUGGCACCGUCACACUGCGCCGCGCAACGACGGGGAGACUGAAGAGCCCGAGUUGCCGAUGGAGUACUACUAUCAGCGCUCUAUCGAACGAACUCUGCGCGUGUUUUUCAGCGUGCCUCAUGCAGAGUGAGACAUGGUUGUUUCUACGUUUCUUCUGUCUUUUCCUCCCUGCGCAUUUUCUGUGACACUGCUUGGCUUGUUUUUGCUUAAGCUGUGUUGUUGAGUCCUUCACAAGUGGGCAAUAUGGAUCGUGUGUGAGUAUGUGCGUGUGUUCUUGGGCGGGCACGUGAGUUAUCUCAUAUAUGUGUGUGCAUGUGCGUAUGAAUGCCCUAUAUAUAUAUAUAUACGGCUGUUUUGGUUUCCUUUUGCGUUUUCUUUUCUGCAUCACCGCUAGACCUGACAUCAUGUACUAUAGUCUUUUCUUUUGUUGCCUCUUUUCGGGCUUUGUUUGUACUGGGUGGAGCCCCCUCCCCCCCCGUACUUGCCUCCGUCUCCUUCCUUCACCUCUUUCCGGAUUUCCGAGAACACUCGGAAAUCCAGAAGCCCUGCUGCCGGGGCGGCAGCAGCAGCAGCAGCAGACACACUCUUCUCUGUUCUCCUUGCGCAUUGUGCGCACGCUCAUUUUUGUAUUUUCUCUGUGUGUGCGUGCGGUGGCACUCAUCCUUUUCCCACUGUGCUGCGCUUUGCGCUCGCCGGUGCUGUGGCGCCACAACACCGGCGAGCGCAGGGAGGCAAACGAGGCAACAAACAGAAUACGCAACUCGUCCCCGUCUUCUUGCUCAACUACAAGAAGAAUGCGCAACG
rnacentral:misc_RNA from 1 species